rnacentral:rRNA from 1 species
CAAGCCACUAUUAGUACUUGCUCAAUUUGCGGAGUGGAUGAUGAAAGUAUGUUUCAUGCGCUUGUCCAGUGCCCGAAGGCUUAUGCUUCGCGUAUGGCUAUGAGGGACACUUGGGAUUUACCGGCGGAGGAGGUGUUCAGGUACACGGGAAGGGAUUGGUUUCUUAUUCUUCUAAAUCAUUUGAGUCCUAUGAUGCGUGACCGAAUUAUCUUCAUUUUCUGGAGAGCCUGGCAUUUGAGAAAUGAUUUGAUUUUUGGUAAGGGGAAGGAAUCCGUCUCAAGCUCUCCUAAUUUUGUGGUGAAUUACUGGACGUCUUUUGUUGCUUGCCACUCCUAUCCAAUGGUGGAUUUGAAGAAUAAAGGUAAAAGCCUCGUUCCUGGACUACGAACUGCUCCUAAUACCUUGGGAACUCAGGUGGCCUGGCAACCCCCUCCUUCGGAAUACAUCAAGAUAAAUGUCGACGCAAGUUUUGUGGAGGACAUUAGCGCUGCAAGUGUGGGUGUGGUAGCCAGGGAUUCCUAUGGGAAUGUCAUAGUUUCUUCUUGGGAUUUCAUUGGGCUUUGUAAAAGCGCGGAGGAAGCAGAACUCCGGGCAUGUAUUGCUGGCCUUUAUAUAGGUAUUACUCUACACAAUCCUGAAAUUUUAGAGACUGAAUGUGCGUUUGUUGUUGCGUCUCUUGCAAAGGAUAAUUUUGACAGGUCAGCACUUUUUGAUUUGUAG